CCGCUGUCAGUGUGGCUGGGCGCGCGAACGGCGCGGGUGCGGUGCAGGUGGAGGCGUGAGAAGCUGUGGGGGCGGUAGCGGCGGCGGCUGCAGCAGCGACUCCUGCGCUUGUGUUCAGCCUUCUCACGCAGCGGCCGGGGCCGUCUUCCUCUUUCCCUCCCCUCCUUCCGUUCCGAGUGCGGCGGAACCGCCUCCUUCCGCGCCGCGCUUUUCCAGACCUCGGCGCGGGUGAGUCCUGUUCCCAGAGGCAGCUGGCACUGGCCCUGUAACAAAAAGGAGGAAAUAGCUGGCUGAGCUCAGCUUUGGUACUGGUGACCACCAUGUCCUUGAAGAUCCAGACAAGCAACGUAACCAACAAGAAUGAUCCCAAGUCCAUCAACUCUCGGGUCUUCAUCGGAAACCUCAACACAGCUGUGGUGAAGAAGUCAGACGUGGAGACCAUCUUUUCCAAGUAUGGCCGCGUGGCCGGCUGCUCUGUGCACAAGGGCUAUGCCUUUGUCCAGUAUGCCAAUGAGCGCCAUGCCCGGGCAGCUGUGUUGGGAGAGAAUGGGCGGGUGCUGGCCGGGCAGACCCUGGACAUCAAUAUGGCUGGAGAGCCCAAGCCCAACAGACCCAAGGGACUAAAGAGAGCAGCCUCUGCCAUAUACAGUGGCUACAGCUUUGACUAUGAUUACUACCGGGACGCCUUCUACAACAGGCUCUUCGACUAUCGGGGUCGCCUGUCGCCAGUGCCAGUGCCCAGGGCAGUCCCUGUGAAGCGACCUCGGGUCACAGUCCCAUUGGUCCGGCGUGUCAAAACUACCAUACCUGUGAAGCUCUUUGCCCGCUCCACAGCCGUCACUACUGGCUCAGCCAAGAUCAAGUUAAAGAGCAGUGAACUGCAGACCAUCAAGACAGAGCUGACACAGAUCAAGUCCAACAUCGACGCCCUGCUGGGCCGUUUGGAACAGAUUGCUGAGGAGCAAAAGGCCAACCCAGAUGGCAAGAAGAAGAGUGACAGCGGUGGUGGCAGUGGCAGUAGUGGCACCAACAGUCGGCCACCGGCCCCCCAAGAGGACACGGCUUCCGAGGCAGGCACUCCCCAGGGAGAAACACAGGCUCGAGAUGAUGGUGAUGAGGAGGGGCUGCUGACACAUAGUGAGGAAGAACUGGAGCACAGCCAGGACACAGAUGCGGAGGAUGGGGCCUUGCAGUAAGCAGCAGAAAGAGAAGAGUCCCCAAGCAGAGAGAGAACAGGAUGAAUUCAGACCUGCUAAGACACAAAAUUGCCUAUCCUGCCUACACUCAUAAAAUCAGCAUUAAAGUUAGAGAAGAUAACUGGCAGGUAAGACUGGAAAACCAGCCCUGGCAUGAUGAGAUUUCAUCAUAUCUGCAACUUGUGAAUUCAAUGGGAAUUUACCUAGAACAAGCCUAUCAGAAAUCUGGCAAGGUCCAGUGCACACAGACUUUCAAUGCCCUUGCUGUCAUGGGAACAACUCUAUCAGGAUGGGAAGUGACUACAUGCACAAAAUCUAAAACACCAGUGGAAGAGUACCAGGUCUCCCAGAAUAACAAUAACCUUCUCAUGUCAACCACUCACCCUUUUUCCUACUAUCCUCUUCAUCAGCUUCCAUGUCUUUGUCCUCAGUUGGCUCUGGCUCUACUUCUCUUGUUUCCGAGGGCUGGGUUUCUUCUGUCUGGGCAUCACCUUCUUCAUCUAACAUAAAGGGCUUCUUCUUCUUCUUUUUCUUCUUGCUCAUAGUAGGAUCAAAAAUCAUCUGUUUAAAAGAAACAAAAGGGGGUAAAACCCAGUGAUUGCUUUUAAUGAUGUUCACAUUCCAAAGACACUGUAU